UUGAUUUCUUUUGAUCUAAAGGCUUUUAUUUGUUCAUUUAAAAAUUCCAUGUGGCCACUCUCAUGUGAUUACCGUCCCAAUUCUCUAUUGCUUUCUCUGCCAUUUUUAUGCCCUGAAUAUGUGCAAUUGACAUGUCUAUGAUUACGCCAUCUUUCGAUUUUAGUAUCAAAAAUCAACAACAACCAUGAUUCACUAUCUAUUGUUUCUAAUUAAUUCAUAAACUCAAUUCCCACACUUUUAAUUUAUUGAUAAACUCAAUGGAAGAAAUUAACAACAAUCAUGAUUCAUGAUCCACUAUCUAAUAUUUGUUACAUUGAUACUGUGUAAAUAAACUGAAAUACCAACCAUGGUUCAUGAUUCACUAUCUAAUAUUUCUAAUUUAUUCAUAAACUCAAUUCCCACACCUUUAAUAUCAUUUUUGUUUCGAUUUCAUAAAUUAAACUUUGCAUACAUUUUUUGUUAGGAUUUACUAUCAAUAUAAGUAAUUAACAAAGGGAGUAAAGAUUGAACAUUGAGAACGAAUUCCCACACCUUUAAUUUAUUCACGACUGGAUCUAGUGGAAAGAAAACAAAGCUUUCUAAUGGAGUUUUAGUAAAUUUGUUAAAAAAAAUCCAAAGUGUUUGAUAAAAUAGCUACACACGGAGCUCAUUUGGAGAACUCUUAAUAGCCUUUGAUUAAAUAAAAUAGAGGGUUUAGAUUUGGUGUCAACGGAUCCUGACUCAUAUAUAUAUAUAUAUAUAUAUAUAUAUAUAUAUAUAUAUAUAUAUAUAUAUAUAUAUAUGUCAAAAAUAUUCUAGGACUUUUGGUUCCCAAAAAAAAAAUCGUCUAUACUUUUGGUCCCUUCUUUUAAGUCAUGUCAUUUGUACCCUACAUAUUUUUGAAUAAAUUUUUGCAAGAAUGUUCAGAAUAUUAUAAGAAUCUUUCUCAAAAAAAUAGAAUUUUUAACAAAACAUAUUAUUAUGAUGUUUUAAGCGCCAAAAAAAUAAAAUUUCAUAUUAAAUUUAUGUUUUGUUGAAAAAUUAUAAUAUUGUUCGGGAGAUAUGCUUAUGAUAAUCUAAACAUAACUGCAAAAUCAAAAUACAAAAUUUUGAAUGAUACAUAUGAGUUGAUUUAAAAAAACAGAGUACAAAGUUGUGAUGAAAACAUUUGCGGUACUAAAAAUUGAAAUUUUUUAAAGAGACUAAAACUAAAAGUUAAAAUAUUUAUAGAGACCAAAAAGAUAUUUCACCUUGUAUAUAAUCUCUUUUAUCUUUGGGCAAAAAAGUAGUUCACUAGUGAACUCAAGAGCAACACCAGAUCCCUUUGACUAGAUAAAUUUCUUGCUUGAGCUCCUCUUUGCCUUCCACCUAAGCUGCCCAGUGAAGCCUCAUAGGGCAGGAUAUGAUAGAGUCUGGUCAUGGAAAAGAUUCUCUUCAAGUGAAUCAGCCCCUUAUAUCGGAGCACAUACCUUCUUGUCUACUAUUAGACAAGAGCUCACUUCAACUAAGUCAGUCAUGUCUCAUCGUAUACCAUUUUGUUCUGGAAUAUUGGGGACUCGCGGUCAAUACCAAGGUGUAGGUUGGGGAUACUCCUUCGAUCUUCCCAUUCAUUUUCAUUGUUAGUGGAUCCCUCUUCUCCUAAUUCUUUCCAUUCUAACAACCAAGAAUCCAUAAUAAUUCUUAAAUCCAUAACACCAUAUGUUUCAUUACAAAUGUAUUAUUUUAGUUAUGUGCAGUUCUUAACAAAUGAUUAAUCGUAUUGAUUUUGAUGAUAAAACGAGUUUCAAUUACUAAAACACUUUUAUUAAUUAUAGUCAGUGGACUACUUAAAUGAAUUAAGAUACUGAAGUAGGGGAAAAACAAUUAACGCUUCAUAAAUUUUCUAAAGAGACGGUCGAUUUGAGAUAGAAAUAUUACAAUUGAAACACGACUUUGUCUAACCUACAAGAGUAAAUUGAUUUUUCACCAUGCACAAGUUUAUUUUUCCAGCAUUAGAACAAUAAUACUUUUCAUAUUUCAUUUAAUUUAAUAGUAAACUUUAUUUAUCUAAUGAUGAAAAUAACCUUAUGCAUGGUACAAAUUUUAUCUUUCUUGUGCAUAAGAGAC
rnacentral:lncRNA from 1 species